CUACAGGGGUUUCUAAUCCUGUUCGCUCCCCACACUUUCGCUCCUCAGCGUCAGGUAAUGCCCAGAGAACCGCCUUCGCCACCGGUGUUCCUCCUGAUAUCUGCGCAUUUCACCGCUACACCAGGAAUUCCGUUCUCCCCUGCAUACCUCUAGUCUGCCCGUAUCGGAAGCAGGCUCGGGGUUGAGCCCCGAGUUUUCACUCCCGACGUGACAAACCGCCUACGAGCCCUUUACGCCCAAUAAUUCCGGACAACGCUCGCACCCUACGUAUUACCGCGGCUGCUGGCAC
rnacentral:rRNA from 1 species